rnacentral:tRNA from 1 species
GGUAAAGUGGCUGAAGUUAAGCGGUAAAUUGUAAAUUUAUAGAUGGAUUUUGAUCCCUUUAUCA